rnacentral:rRNA from 1 species
CAGUCGCCGCGGGAAUACGUAGGUGGCAAGCGUUGUCCGGAAUUAUUGGGCGUAAAGGGCUCGCAGGCGGUUUCUUAAGUCUGAUGUGAAAGCCCCCGGCUCAACCGGGGAGGGUCAUUGGAAACUGGGAAACUCGAGUGCAGAAGAGGAGAGUGGAAUUCCACGUGUAGCGGUGAAAUGCGUAGAGAUGUGGAGGAACACCAGUGGCGAAGGCGACUCUCUGGUCUGUAACUGACGCUGAGGAGCGAAAGCGUGGGGAGCGAACAGGAUUAGAUACCCCCGUAGUCCCUGUCUCUUAUAC